CAUAUCAAUAAGCGGAGGAAAAGAAACUAACAAGGAUUCCCCUAGUAACUGCGAGUGAAGCGGGAAAAGCUCAAAUUUAAAAUCUGGCGGCCUUUGGUUGUCCGAGUUGUAAUCUAGAGAAGUGUUAUCCGCGCUGGACCGUGUACAAGUCUCCUGGAAUGGAGCGUCAUAGAGGGUGAGAAUCCCGUCUUUGACACGGACUACCAGGGCUUUGUGAUACACUCUCGAAGAGUCGAGUUGUUUGGGAAUGCAGCUCAAAAUGGGUGGUAAAUUCCAUCUAAAGCUAAAUAUUGGCGAGAGACCGAUAGCGAACAAGUACCGUGAGGGAAAGAUGAAAAGAACUUUGGAAAGAGAGUUAAACAGUACGUGAAAUUGCUGAAAGGGAAACGCUUGAAGUCAGUCGCGUUGUCCAGGGAUCAGCCUUGCUUUUGCUUGGUGCACUUUCUGGUUGACGGGUCAGCAUCAAUUUUGACCAUUGGAAAAAGAUUAGGGGAAUGUGGCAUCUUCGGAUGUGUUAUAGCCCUUGGUUGCAUACAAUGGUUGGGAUUGAGGAACUCAGCACGCCGCAAGGCCGGGUUUUUAACCACGUACGUGCUUAGGAUGCUGGCAUAAUGGCUUUAAUCGACCCGUCUUGAAACACGGACCAAGGAGUCUAACAUGCCUGCGAGUGUUUGGGUGGAAAACCCGAGCGCGUAAUGAAAGUGAAAGUUGAGAUCCCUGUCGUGGGGAGCAUCGACGCCCGGACCAGACCUUUUGUGACGGUUCCGCGGUAGAGCAUGUAUGUUGGGACCCGAAAGAUGGUGAACUAUGCCUGAAUAGGGUGAAGCCAGAGGAAACUCUGGUGGAGGCUCGUAGCGAUUCUGACGUGCAAAUCGAUCGUCAAAUUUGGGUAUAGGGGCGAAAGACUAAUCGAACCAUCUAGUAGCUGG
rnacentral:rRNA from 1 species